CAGUAACGGCGAGCGAAGCGGGAACAGCUCGAGCAGGCAAUCUCUGGUGUCGAUCGCCAGCGAAUUGUGGCCGGUAGAGGCGGGUGCACCUGACGCGGCUCCGUCGAAGUUGACCUGGAAAGGCACGUCGGAGAGGGUGAUAGCCCCGUGCGUGGCGGAGUCGCCGAGGGCCGCUACCGUCUUCUGAGAGUCGGGUUGUUUGGGAGUGCAGCCCAAAGUGGGUGGUAAACUCCAUCUAAAGCCAAAUAGCGGCACGAGACCGAUAGCGAACAAGUACCAUGAGGGAAAGGUGAAAAGCACUUUGGAAAGAGAGUUAAAGAGGCCGCGAAACCGUUGGGAGGGAAACGCAUGCAGCCGGACCGGCCCGCGUCGAGUUCACGGGGCCGCCGUUAGUCGCGUUCGCCGUCGGCACCGAAAGGGUCGGCGGUGGACCCGGGCUCUCGGCGCCCCUGCACUCUCGGCGCUCUGGGCCGGCCAAGCGCGGCGGGAUCCGGGCGACGAGCUCGGUCGGGCAGGUAGCGCAGCCGCCUGGCGGAGGCGAACUUAUAGCCGUCCGAGCGGAGCGUCCGGGACCCGCCGAGGAGAGCGGUGGCACUUCCACCCAAGCAGCGCAGGCCGCCUGGCGGCAGGGGCCCUCUGGCUCGUUGGCGAGCCGCCCCGAGUCACUGCGUGCAGUGGCCCGGGGACGGUCCGCCUCCGGGUCGGGGGUAGCUCACUCCUUGCGCUCGGGCCGCUUGGCCUGACGUCGGCUGCAUCCGACCCGUCUUGAAACACGGACCAAGGAGUGCAACAGUUGUGCGAGUAUUCGGGCGUCAAACCCGGGUGAUGCGCAAUGAAGGUGAAGGCGGGACUCGUGGCCCGCCGAGGCGAGAGCCGCUUCGCGCGGCGCAUCGUCGACCGAUCCGUUGCCACGCUGUGGCGGGAUUCGAGUGAGAGCGUUGCUGUUGCGACCCGAAAGAUGGUGAACUAUGCCUGAGUAGGGCGAAGCCAGAGGAAACUCUGGUGGAAGCCCGCAGCGGUUCUGACGUGCAAAUCGAUCGUCAAACUUGGGUAUAGGGGCGAAAGACU
rnacentral:rRNA from 1 species